UUCAGUAGGAAUCUGGUGUGUGCUGCCAGCUGCAUUUGUCAUGUCUUCAAGGUUGUGUUGUCACUGGCCAUCCAAGUCUCUAAGUAUCAACAUAGAUACUGAGUUCCUGGAACAAAGGAUUCUACAGAAAAACAAGUUUAGAGGAGGGGGAGGCUUUGAGAAUGAGGAAGAGAAAUACUUGUUCAGUUUUAAGUCAAGCCUUGCUGACACAUUGAUGUGUCCUUCUUAAUUGCCAACAAUUUUUACAUUUCUAUAGCAGUUUCAAUAGGACCUGGAACUUGAAGGGAUUUAAGAUAUCAUUGAGCUCCAUACCUUACCUUUUUGUGAGGAAACUGCAGGCCAGAGUUAAGAGAUCCAUCCAGUCACAAAGCUGGCUCCAUGCUUCAGCACUGAGUCUUCAAACUCCCAGUCCGUCCAUUCUCCGCCAUUAGGCAGGUUUUCUGCCUGGUCUCAGCUUGUAUGGGAACCUUUUCCCCAUGUUAGCAUUAAAUAACAAUCCUGGAAGUGCCUGGGGGAUUCAGCGGGUUAAGUGUCCAACUUCAGCUUAGGUCAUGACCUCAAGGUUCAUGAGUUCGAGCCCCGCAUCCAACUCUGGAGUGCUUGGAUAGACAACCUGCUUAGAACACCUUCUUGGCUUCUGCUCUCCAGACCAUUUGUCCCACUAUUCAGAGAGCUCUUGGAAUUGUGCUGCUCCAGUUGGGUGAAAAUGCUGGAUGUGGUGUUCCAGAAAGGGGAGGGUCCUGGCUCCUGGAGGAUUCCCAGGAGUGUUAAAUUUAGUGCCUGAGUCCAUGUCACCUUUUGAGCAUUUCCUUCCUUUCUGGAACAAGAAGAUAUUCCAAGCUCAUCUUAUACUUUCCUUGCUAUAGCCCUGGGGUCAGUCAUUUCUCUGUGGAGUCCUGCUUCAUUUUAAUGGUGAAUGGUAUUUAUGGUAUUUUGUUCGUUAUGCUGGUGUGGUAUCAUUUAUGUUAAUUAUGUUCAUUGCCAUUGGGUACUGCUGUUCCCAUACCCUCUCAUUGGAUGGGUCUAAGGAGUUUAUAAAAAUUCCAUUUAUAUCUACAUUUAUCUAUGCAUCUAUUUAUAUUAUUGAAAACCAUGAUUUCAGGGCACCUGAGUGGCUCAGUUGGUUAAGGUCCAGCUUCAGUUCAGGUCAUGAUCUCACGAAUUCAUGGGGUUGAGACAGAUGCUGACAGCUCAGAACCUGGAGCCUGCUUCAGAUUCUGUGUCUCCCUCUCUCUCUGCUUCUCCCCUUUCUCUCUCUCUCUCUCUCAAAAAUAAAUAAACAUUAACAAAAAAUAAAAAAAUAAAACUCCAUGAUUUCAUAGUGGUAUUUUCAAUCUAACACCAUAAUGUUAGAUGGUUUUUCUUUUCCAGAUUUAUAACUCCCUUUUACAACACCGAAAAUCCUGGCUCCCAUUAUACUAAAUAUGUUUACUCAAUUCCUCAGAUUCUCCUGUAUAUAACCUAUUUACUUACUCUGACUCCACACUCCUCCUGUACAGACACCUUUUGGGCUCUGACAUCACUCAAGUUACCACUAUUGCUGUUUCCUCCCAUAUUGUGUCAGGAGCGGUCAGUGUAAUCAAUAGAAUAUGUGACAGGUGAUGGUAUGUCACUUACAUGGCAAGAUCAUAAAAAGCAAACAAGCAAAUUCCAAUAUUGUGGCUUCUGUCUCUUUUGGCUCAUUUGUGCUGGGGGAAAGCUGGUACCACAUCAUGAAAAGAAGUCUAUGUAGUGAGGAACUGAAGCCUUAUACUAGUGAACCAUUUUCUUUUUUUUUUUUAAUUUUUUUUUUCAACGUUUAUUUAUUUUUGGGACAGAGAGAGACAGAGCAUGAACGGGGGAGGGGCAGAGAGAGAGGGAGACACAGAAUCGGAAACAGG